GACAUCAGGAGGUUAGUGCAAUGGCAUAAGCCAGCUUGACUGCGAGCGUGACGGCGCGAGCAGGUGCGAAAGCAGGUCAUAGUGAUCCGGUGGUUCUGAAUGGAAGGGCCAUCGCUCAACGGAUAAAAGGUACUCCGGGGAUAACAGGCUGAUACCGCCCAAGAGUUCAUAUCGACGGCGGUGUUUGGCACCUCGAUGUCGGCUCAUCACAUCCUGGGGCUGAAGUAGGUCCCAAGGGUAUGGCUGUUCGCCAUUUAAAGUGGUACGCGAGCUGGGUUUAGAACGUCGUGAGACAGUUCGGUCCCUAUCUGCCGUGGGCGCUGGAGAACUGAGGGGGGCUGCUCCUAGUACGAGAGGACCGGAGUGGACGCAUCACUGGUGUUCGGGUUGUCAUGCCAAUGGCACUGCCCGGUAGCUAAAUGCGGAAGAGAUAAGUGCUGAAAGCAUCUAAGCACGAAACUUGCCCCGAGAUGAGUUCUCCCUGACUCCUUGAGAGUCCUGAAGGAAC
rnacentral:rRNA from 1 species